CUGAAAAAGCACCAUUUAGAAUUAAUUAAAGCGGAGCGGUUUUCAUUGGUUUUGCCACUGCUGACCAUUGCGUAUUUUUUUAAUGAGGUAGAGCAAGUAUGAAGCAAUGAUUUAACCAAAUAUUUGGGAAGUUGAUUACACAAUACGAGGGGAAAAAAACCGGUUUCAAAAUAUCAGAUAUACCUGACUCUGGAUGUUCAGCUUUGGAAAUUGAGAGAAUGGCUGCAGAGUGAUAUGGUGUUGUGACCCAGGCCCAAGUAAGUAGUAGGAAAAUCAGUCAGUGAAAAAACAAACUUUAUUCGAACAGCUGAGAAUUACUUCAUUCCCAGCAUCGUUCAACUAAAUUAAAGCAAAUUCCUCCCAACACAAAUUCCUCAGUCCUAUCGCAAACCUUGGUCCAAUUAGGCAAACUGCCAAAGGCCUUUCUUGCAAACGUUCAGAAG